UACCACUCGCAGCUCCAUUCGUGUGAGUUCGUCGCUUCCGCUCGGCGGACCUUGCGCGACGUAAUCGGGUGUGUGCGAAAGUAUGAAGUGAAAUCGUACCCAAAGUGUGUGAAAUGUUUAGUGGUAGUUUUUACUGUGUAAAAUUUGUGCGAACAAAAUGAGUGCAAACGGAUAGUCGACUUUCUUAUUUCCCGGAUUUAUAAACAUUGGACGGUAGUGGAACACGUAACAUUUUGUAGAAACGGAUUCAAAAUGGCUGUGUUUUGAUGGACCCUUUGUCCGAUUCGUGUGUUUCUUUCAGCAUGGUAGUGGGAUCCUACAGUCAGAAAUUUGACUUAGAGAGGGAAUGCAUGUCAUGUACCCGGAGCCGACGCACUAUCGCAAUCAGCCAGCCAGCCAGCCCUCGUACCAGCCGGCCGUCUCGCCGGCCCGCCACCAGCCUAAGAAGCGCCGCGCGCUGAGCCCCGUCUCGCGACACGCGGGUCCCGAUAACACUGGCUACAAGAGCAAGUGUUGGUCAGGCGUAGGGCCGGUCUGCUGCGCCGCGCCCGCCGCGCCGAGUCGCGCGUGCGAUGCUGAGCGGUCCCCUCCGCCCGCGCUACCGCCCGCUCCGCCCGCGCUCUGCGCACGACCGUGCUGUCGCGACGCGCCUGUCGGCGACACCAGCGACCAGCGUCGCGCCCCGCCGGCCGCCGGCGCGGCCGCUCGCCACAAGACGGCACCACAGGCAACGACGACGGCCCACAGCAAGACAGCGGCGGGCGGGGCCAACCACCCGCCCCAGCCGCAAGGUAACAAACGCUCUGGCUGUGGCGGCGAUGGCGACUACCAGCUGGUGCAGCACGAGGUGCUAUACUCCUCGUCUAAUAGGUACGAGGUGUUGGAGUUCCUCGGGCGAGGCACGUUCGGGCAGGUGGUGAAGUGCUGGAAGAAGGGCACCAACGAGAUAGUCGCCAUCAAGAUCCUCAAGAACCACCCCAGCUAUGCUCGCCAAGGACAGAUUGAGGUGUCGAUCCUCUCCCGGCUCUCGCAAGAGUCCGCGGACGAGUUCAACUUCGUCCGCGCGUACGAGUGCUUCCAGCACCGCUCGCACACGUGCCUCGUGUUCGAGAUGCUGGAGCAGAACCUGUACGACUUCCUCAAGCAGAACAAGUUCAGCCCGCUGCCGCUCAAGUACAUCAGGCCCAUCCUGCAGCAGGUGCUCACCGCGCUGCUCAAACUUAAGCAACUGGGGUUGAUACACGCGGAUUUGAAGCCCGAGAACAUCAUGCUUGUGGAGCCAGCGCGGCAGCCGUACAGGGUUAAGGUCAUCGACUUUGGCAGCGCCUCGCACGUCAGCAAGGCCGUCUGCAACACCUACCUGCAGAGUCGAUACUACAGAGCUCCCGAGAUCAUCCUGGGGCUAGCGUUCUGCGAGGCGAUCGACAUGUGGUCGCUGGGCUGCGUGGUGGCCGAGCUGUUCCUCGGCUGGCCGCUGUACCCCGGCUCCUCGGAGUACGACCAGAUCCGCUACAUCUCGCAGACGCAGGGCCUGCCCACCGAGCACAUGCUCAACAGUGCGUCAAAAACGGCCAAGUUCUUCUACCGCGACGUGGACAGCACGUACCCGUUCUGGCGGCUGAAGACGCCCGAGGAGCACGAGCUGGAGACCGGCAUCAAGAGCAAGGAGGCCAGGAAGUACAUCUUCAACUGCCUUGACGACAUCGGACAGGUUAAUGUACCAACGGAUCUAGAAGGUGGCCAACUCUUGGCCGAGAAGGCGGACAGAAGGGAAUUCAUCGAUUUACUGAAAAGAAUGCUCACUAUGGAUCAGGAACGGAGGAUAACUCCCGGCGAAGCGUUGAAUCACGCUUUCGUGACACUCGCACAUCUGGUGGACUACGCGCAUUGCAAUAAUGUCAAGGCGUCCGUGCAAAUGAUGGAGGUGUGCCGACGCUCCGGCAGCGGCGUGGGCGGAGUGGGCGGCGUGGGCGGCGAGUACGUGGGCGGCGUGGUGGCGCCCGCCGCGCCCUCCGCGCACCACCUCGCGCUCACCAUCAACCAGCAGCGCCUGCCGCCCGCGCCCUACGACAACCUGUACCAGCUAUACCAAGGCGGCCGCGUGGCAGUAGGCGGGGCGAGGCAGUACGCGACGCGAGCUGCGGAGCCGUUCCCGCACCAGUUCGUGUCAUCCAUCCUGUGUCCACCCGCCUACCAGGUGCAGCAACUAGCAGCGGCAGCAGCCGCAGCGGCGGCGGCGCACCACCAGCACGGCGUGGGCGUGGGUGGCGUGGGCGUGGGCGUGGGCGACGUGGGCGUGGGCGUGGGCGAGUGGCGCGCGCCGCUCAUCGUCGAGCCCGCGCCGCUGCCCGAGCCCGACGUCUGGGACUUCCACCCGCACCAUCUCCACCACCACCCGCAUAAGAGGGUUGUCAACAGAUCGACAAAGCAGCAGACGACGGUGGCCCACUACCAGCCGCAUCACCAAACACACCAAUACAGUAUGGCGAGCAGUGGGGGCAAGAAGGAGCCGACUCAGCUGUCGCCCGUGAAGAAGCGAGUGAAGGAAGGCACGCCACCCUCGCGGCACAACAGGCACACGCACGAACAGAACACCGGCAACAUCGGCGGCGGGCGCGCGUCGUGGGGCUCGAGCGGCGCGCACCUGGCGGCCGGGCCGGCGGGCGCCGCUCCCGCUCCCGCGCCCGCUCCCGCUCCCGCGCACGCGCACACCAUCACCAUCCGCGACACGCCGUCGCCCGCCGUCUCCGUCAUCACCAUCUCCGACUCCGACGACGACGAGCCCGCGCCCAUGCCCCACAACAGAGCGGGCGGCAGUGGACAGUGCCCCCCGGUGGCGGCGGCGGCGGCGCCCGGCGUGAUCUGCAGCGCGCGCUCGCCGCGCGACGACCCGCACGUCAAGCCCGAGCCGCAGCCCUGCCACCACCACCACACGCAACCGUCAGCCCCCGCGCCGGCGCCGGCGCGCGCGCAGGCCACGCCGCAGAGCCAGAAGAAGCGGCUGCUCGCGCUGGCGCAGCAGGAGGCGCACAAGCACGACCCGCCCGACCACCACCAUUACCAGCAGACCGGCGCCACCGUCCGGCCGACGAACGAGUACCAGUGCAACCAGUACGUGCCGACGCAGCACAACAAGAGGGAUAGUACGGGCGGGUGCCGCGAGUACUCGAGCGGCGCGGGCGCGGGGGCGCCGGUGGCGGUGGCGGGCGGGCGCGCCGCCCGCGCACAAGCAGCACGCGCACGCGCCGCACGCCGCGCACCACGCCGCGCACGCCUGGCACCACCACCCGCACAACCACUACAAAACUGGUAGCGGAGGCGUUCUGUCGCCGGCGGGAGGGGUAUCACCCGGCUAUUUACCACCGCCGCUAUACGUGCCCACCUACCAUUACCAUACCGGUGGCGUCGGCGGAGUGGGAGUGGGCGCGGUGGGCGCAGUAGCGGGCGGCGU
rnacentral:misc_RNA from 1 species